rnacentral:tRNA from 1 species
GAGGGAGAAGCACCAGGAAGCAGAGCUAGCUUGAAACUAGUUAGAGGGGGUUCGAAUCCUUCCUCCCUUG